rnacentral:rRNA from 1 species
ACGUNGGGCANNUUNUNGAUAAUNGNNAAAGNUCCNGCGUUNAUNAAACANUGUAAUUCCGGUUCACCUGGGACUGNUCUNCAAUNNAUUACUGGAUACGGCAGAGGGGANGGAUNACGCNNUANCAUNAAACGNGUAGANUUGCGGAGGAACUCCGAUGGCGAGGCAAUACCCUGGGUCUGUACUGACGCUAUGCACGAAAGCGUGGGGAGCAAAACAGGAUAGAUACCCUGGUAGUCCACGCCCUAAACGAUGUCAACUGGUUGUUGGGAAUUCACUUUAUCAGUAACGAAGCUAACGUGUGAAGUUGACCGCUGGGGAGUACGGCCGCAAGGUUGAACUCAAAGGAAUUGACGGGUACCCGCACAAGCGGUGGAUGAUGUGGUUUAAUUCGAUGCAACGCGAAAAACCUUACCCACCUGUGACAUGUACGGAAUUCGCCAGAGAUGGCUUAGUGCUCGAAAGAGAACCGUAACACAGGUGCUGCAUGGCUGUCGUCAGCUCGUGUCGUGAGAUGUUGGGUUAAGUCCCGCAACGAGCGCAACCCUUGUCAUUAGUUGCUACAUUCAGUUGGGCACUCUAAUGAGACUGCCGGUGACAAACCGGAGGAAGGUGGGGAUGACGUCAAGUCCUCAUGGCCCUUAUAGGUGGGGCUACACACGUCAUACAAUGGCUGGUACAAAGGGUUGCCAACCCGCGAGGGGGNGNUGAUCCCAUAAAACCAGUCGUAGUCCGGGUCGCAGUCUGCAACAUCGACUGCGUGAAGUCGGAAUCGCUAGUAAUCGUGGAUCAGAAUGUCACGGUGAAUACGUUCCCGGGUCUUGUACACACCGCCCGUCACACCAUGGGAGCGGGUUCUGCCAGAAGUAGUUAGCUAACCGCAAGGAGAGC